rnacentral:lncRNA from 1 species
AAUCCAACCGGCAAGUUCAAUGGAAUUUUCUCUGUGUGUGUGUGUGCAUAUAAUACUAUUUGCAACCAAUUUAACAAAUCUACCCCAAAGGAAAAAAGGGCCAUGCAGCACAUGGAAGAAGGCCAUGCAUGAAACAGGAAACGGAAAAGGAGGAAGGAGCAAGAAGACGAAGGCAGGCAGCAGGCAUGGUGAAAGAUGCACGGAAUUUUCUUUGCAGAGCUGUCGACCAGCUGCUCGGUUUCCCGCCCGCACUACAUGCAACCACACACAUC